UCAGAUGUCCGGGGCCGCACGCGUGUCACACUGAAGGAAUCAGCGUGUUCUCUCCCGGUCCGCCAGGACCGGGUAACCCGUUGAACCUCCUUCGUGAUGGGGAUAGGGGCUUGUAAUUGUUCCCCUUGAACGAGGAAUGCCCAGUAAGCACGGGUCACUACCCCGUGUUGAUUACGUCCCUGCCCUUUGUCCACACCGCCCGUCGCUAGUACCGAUUGAAUGAUUCAGUGAGGUCUUUGGACUGGCGCUCGGAUGCGGUCCCCUCCGGGGGAACCGGACCGGCGCGCCGGAAAGACGACCGAACUCGAUCCUUUAGAGGAACUAAAAGUCGUAACAAGGUUUCC
rnacentral:rRNA from 2 species